rnacentral:rRNA from 1 species
CCUACGGGUGGCAGCAGUGGGGAAUAUUGCGCAAUGGGCGAAAGUCUGAACCAGCCAAGUAGCGUGAAGGAUGACUGCCCUAUGGGUUGUAAACUUCUUUUAUAAAGGAAUAAAACGAGGCACGUGUGCCUUUUUGCAUGUACUUUAUGAAUAAGGAUCGGCUAACUCCGUGCCAGCAGCCGCGGUAAUACGGAGGAUCCGAGCGUUAUCCGGAUUUAUUGGGUUUAAAGGGAGCGUAGAUGGGUUGUUAAGUCAGUUGUGAAAGUUUGCGGCUCAACCGUAAAAUUGCAAUUGAUACUGGCAGUUUUGAGUACAUUUGAGGAAAGCGGAAUUCGGGUUGUAGCGGUGAA